rnacentral:rRNA from 1 species
GAAUCUGCCUUCUGGUCGGGGACAACCACUGGAAACGGUGGCUAAUACCGGAUGAGCCUUAGGGUAAAAGAUUAAUUGCCAGAAGAGGAGCUCGCGUCUGAUUAGCUAGUUGGUGGGGUAAAAGCCUACCAAGGCAUCGAUCAGUAGCUGGUCUGAGAGGACGAUCAGCCACACUGGGACUGAGACACGGCCCAGACUCCUACGGGAGGCAGCAGUGGGGAAUUUUCCGCAAUGGGCGAAAGCCUGACGGAGCAAGACCGCGUGAGGGAAGAAGGCUCUUGGGUCGUAAACCUCUUUUGUCAGGGAAGAACACAAUGACGGUACCUGACGAGUCAGCCUCGGCUAACUCCGUGCCAGCAGCCGCGGUAAUACGGAGGAGGCAAGCGUUAUCCGGAAUUAUUGGGCGUAAAGCGUCCGCAGGUGGCGAUUCAAGUCUGCGGUCAAAGACUGGGGCUUAACCCUGGAAAGGCCGUGGAAACUGAAAAGCUAGAGUGCAGUAGGGGUAGAGGGAAUUCCCGGUGUAGCGGUGAAAUGCGUAGAGCUCGGGAAGAACAUCGGUGGCGAAAGCGCUCUGCUGGACCUUAACUGACACUGAGGGACGAAAGCUAGGGGAGCG